ensembl:lncRNA
CGUAGGGUCUCACCAGGGUAGGGUUGUGCUCUGAGAGCCUCUAGAGGCCUGGAGGACUGAUAACACACAGCUGUUAGACAGGACAUCAUAUAGUAAUAUAAUAAUCACAUUAUGAAAGUUUAAACAACCGUCUCUUAGGAUCUGUCCAAUCAGAGAGAAGCAGGGGCGUGGUUUAGGGACAACUGUGUUGGGAACAACAAUGUGUGUGUGUGUGUGUGUGUGUGUGUGUGUGUGUGUGUGUGUGUGUGUGUGUGUGUGUGUGUGUGUGUGUGUGUGUGUGUGUUACCUUCGGUGUGCUCUCCAUCGGUUGGGGUGAGUGUGAUUGGUCGGCCUGAAUCGAGGAGUUCAUCACAGCUUCACCGAUUGGCUCGGCCUUUAGGUCUCCCAUGGUUACCGGGCCCUGAUUGGUCGGUGUGUAGCGUAACCCUGGGAACACAGCAGAACCACAGCGUGUCACACACCGGGGGUACCGGAGCCGGGGGCCGCUGGUCUGGGGUCGCUCUACCUGCCGUCGCGGUGUUGCUCUUCUCCUGCUCCCCUUCUCCUCCUUCUCCUCCUCCUCCUCCUCCUCCUCCCCCCCUCCUACUCCUGCUGGGGUUUGUAGUCCUCUGGGAGUUUGUAGUCCGUUGUUGCCGGGGGUCCGCUAGGAGGAUGUGUGACCCCCCCUGACCUCCCCGAUGCUCACCUCCUCCCCCUCCUCCUCCUCCUCCUCCCCCCAGGACCCCUGGAGAACACAAGAGGUCAGAGGUCAUCAGAUCACAUUGACCACCGUCUCCAAGGUUACAGGAGCUGUGUGUGUGUGUGUGUGUGUGUGUGUGUGUGUGUGUGUGUGUGUGUGUGUGUGUGUGUGUGUGUGUUACCUCUCAGGUUGGGGGCGGGGCUCAGAGAGUUUGACUUCCUGGUCGAUCCUGGCCAGCAGGGUCAGCAUGGGGUCAUGACCUCCGACCUGUCCUUCACUAGGAGGGUCGUAGUCCUGGAGAGGAGCAGAACGUUGAACACAUGUCACGAUGAGGUCACGAUGAUGUCACGAUGAUGCCACGAUGAGGUCACAAUGAUGUCACGAUGAGGUCACGAUGAUGUCACGAUGAUGUCAUGAAAGACUUCACGAUGAUGUCACGAUGGUGUCAUGAUGAGGUCACGAUGAUGUCACGAUGGCGUCAUGAUGAUGUCACGAUGGCGUCAUGAUGAUGUCACAAUGUUGUCAUGAUGAUGUCACGAUGAUGUCACGAUGAUGUCACCAUGCUGUCACGAUGAGGUCACGAUGAUGCCAUGAUGAUGUCACGAUAAGGUCAAGAUAAGGUCACGAUUGGGGAUAGGAAGCUGUCUCACCAUCUCCUGAAGCUCCCGCAGAGAACUGGAGAAACUGCCGUCUUCUAGGGACGGACAGACAGACAGACAGGUUAGACGGAUGACAGAGACAGACAGACAGACGAGAGAGAAAGACGGACAGACAGACAC